rnacentral:rRNA from 1 species
UGGGGAAUCUUGCGCAAUGGACGAAAGUCUGACGCAGCCACGCCGCGUGAGUGAAGAAGGCCUUCGGGUUGUAAAGCUCUGUCGAUCGGGACGAAAACCCGGUAGGUGAAUAGCCUAUCGGCUUGACGGUACCGAGAGAGGAAGCACCGGCUAACUCCGUGCCAGCAGCCGCGGUAAUACGGAGGGUGCAAGCGUUGCUCGGAAUUAUUGGGCGUAAAGGGCAGGUAGGUGGUCUCAUUUGUCAGGGGUGAAAUCCUUGGGCUUAACCCAAGAAGUGCCCCUGAAACGGUGAGACUCGAGUACUGGAGAGGGUCGUGGAAUUCCCGGUGUAGCGGUGAAAUGCGUAGAGAUCGGGAGGAACACCAGAGGCGAAGGCGGCGACCUGGACAGUAACUGACAC